AUGAUUGCAACCUGUUACGGAAGAGUCAACCUGUUACAACAUAUAUGUGAGCAAUUUAAAUCAAAAUACUCGACCGAUAUUUUCAUCUCAAUUCACAUGUUUAUUUGCAUGCUGAUAAACAACAAUGUUUUCUGCAUCAACUUCAUCUUUAGUGUGCUUAUUCAAUUGUUGUUACAUAACUCAAGGAAAAAUAAAUAUAUAAUUCAAUACCAUUUCCAGUUUGAAACGGAUAGAUACUUAGAAUACCUCUGCAUUAGUAUAAAACAGUAA